UCCCACAAGCCAUAUAUUCCAACACCCCCCUUUCUUUGUGGAAUAGUCAAUAACUUUUACACAAAUAUUAGAAUUUUUACACUUGAGGCCCUUAUACAGAGGUGCUGAUCUCCUGCAAUGCGGUGUAUUUGGAAAUAUACAAUAUUAGUUAUAAUGUAUUUUUGCAAUUAGUAUGGGCUGUAUAGACAUUUCAUUUUGCUCAUCAACUCAAAGCUUCAUCAAUUAGUUCCUAGUCAUUUGUUUGGAACAAAUGUUUUGUGGAGAAUGUGUAAAAUCAGUAGCAUGUGUUGAAGAACUAGUUGAUAGAAAUAAAAUCAUGACUUCUUUUGUAACAUGAACAUAACUCUUUAAAUUUUGAAUCUAAUUGAAAUUGAUAUUGAAUCCAACUGAGUUUUCGGAACUUUUGACAUAAUUGUGGAUCAAGUGGACUCUUCUGAGAUUGUUGAUGUUUUUGAACUUGGGCAAGAUGAAGCUGUUGACAUUGAAGGUAAGGAAGUUAAUAGGCAAAAACUAAGGAGGUGCAUAGAUCAAUAUAAGGUCUGCUAUUAAGUUUUUGAAAGGAGGAGAAUUGAGAAAGUCCAAGGAUUUGUUGAGGGGAAAGAUCAGAAUGGAAUAAAAGUGUUUGUGUGUGUACUUGGGAGGUUAGGGUCGAAGAGGGAUGGGGUGGGAGGAGCAUGAUUCAAAAAAUUUUUCUAGGGUUAUGUGUUUUAUAUUCAUUUCAUAAAAUGUGUUUUGGUAGAAGGUUUUUUCAUCAAUGGCAGAGCAUUUAUUCUUCUAGGUUGGAAUGUGCCCCUGCUUAUAUUAUGAGGGCACCUUGCUCUUCAUCCCAUUAAAUUUGCAAGCUAUUAUGUACUCCCUAUUUCCUAAUUUUACUUCUCCUUCAACAAAAUAUUGGACCAUGGUGGGAAAUAUUGUAUGCUAUGGAUUUACGUCUGUGAAGUAUUAUAUAUAUUAUAUGACUUGGCACUUUUUUGUGGCAUGGAUACAUGUCCAUGAUUUGAUGCUUUCCAUACACGCGGCUAGCUAUUGAUGUUCCUUUGGUUGUAUGUUGAAUCUUAGAUUGAACUUUGGAAUCCACGUCUUGAAUGGAAAAAGCUGCUUGUUCUAGAUAUUGAUUAUACUCUAUUUGAUCACCAAUCCACAGCAGAGAACCCACUUGAACUCAUGCGACCUUGUAAAUAGUUUGGUUAUGGAAAAAAGUUGUUAUAUUUCUUGUAAAAUUAAUUUCUAAUUGCAUUCUCUUCUCAUCCAGAUCUUCAUAACUUUCUCACUGCUGUUUACGCAGAGUCUGAUAUUAUGAUGUGGUCUGCAACCCGGUUAGAUUUCAAUUAUACCUUUGGAUUUGUACCACAAGUUGUGUUAUGUGAGGGUUUGUUUAUGAAAAUUUAUCAUUUGUCUAAAUUUGAUGACAUGGAACAUGAAACUAGGGCUCCGUUCGUCUUGCAGAAAAUAUAUCCUUGAAAAACAUAUUAUGAUGUUUGGAAUGUAAAUUGGGAAGAAAAAUCCGUCAAUAGAAAAUUUUUCCUAAUCAUACGGAAAUUAAGUCAUAUUUAAGGAAAAUUGAAAGCUAUUUUCUAGACUUCAACAAACUCUUAAAAUUGAAAGGGAUCUACAAGACAAGCAUAUAAGCACAUGCCUAACGAGCCACCGAACCAAAUAUUGUUGAACAUUGUCAACCAUGUGUGACUGUUGAUUACACUAAUCUCUAUUUUAUAUGAAAGAAUUCAUUUAUUUAUAUGCUUUCUGCAGAUUGAAGUGGAUUGAAUUGAAAAUGGGACAACUGGGAGUGCUCAACAAUCCAAACUAUAAAGUCACAGCUCUUCUAGACCAUUUAGCAAUGAUUACAGUUCAAUCAGAUUCUCGGGGAAUCUUUGACUGCAAGCCACUUGGAUUGAUUUGGGCUCAGUUUCCCGAGUUUUACAAUCCAAAAAACACUAUAAUGUUCGAUGAUCUGCGAAGAAAUUUUGUGAUGAACCCACAAAAUGGUUUGACAAUCAAGCCUUUCAGGAAGGCUCAUGCAAAUAGAGAUAGUGAUCAGGAGCUCGUGAAGCUCACCCAAUACUUACUUGCCAUUGCAGAACUUGAUGAUUUAAGCACUCUGAAUCAUGAAAACUGGGAGUUCUUUGCUGAGGACAAUACAAAAAGGCGUAGGCAUGCGUAAUUGACAUUAACAAGCUUGGAAACCUUAAAGUUGCCUCCUUGUAUUCACAUUUUGAGGGAUGCCGAAGGGUGGAUGCUGAUACAGCUAAAGGAUAGCCUUUUUUUCCCCCUGUUGUGGUACAUUUCUGGAAUUUAAAGUACUCUAGUGAGAGUGUGUUUAAUAUUAUAAUCAAGGGUUUAUACAUUACAUAGUUUGCACACCACUUUUUUUUUUUCUAUGGAUGCCAAAAAUUGACUCUGUUGUGAAGGAUGUGGAUUGUUGACUCAUGAUUCUAUACAAGUAAACUUAAUUAGCUUGUGAAGGGUUGAAGUUGCUCCUGCACAUUAUAUCUUUAGAUUAUUGAAGAGGGAUUGGAUGGGAAGAUAUCAUAUGACAUGUUUGAUCUGUUCUAAUCUAUGUGCUUAUUAGUUCAACUGAUUUGGAAGUCCAAUCUCCAGAUAUAUUUGAAUAUGAAUUACGUUUUAG
rnacentral:misc_RNA from 1 species